rnacentral:rRNA from 1 species
CCUACGGGAGGCAGCAGUGGGGAAUAUUGGACAAUGGGGGGAACCCUGAUCCAGCCAUGCCGCGUGUGUGAAGAAGGCCUUAUGGUUGUAAAGCACUUUAAGCGAGGAGGAGGCUACUUUAGUUAAUACCUAGAGAUAGUGGACGUUACUCGCAGAAUAAGCACCGGCUAACUCUGUGCCAGCAGCCGCGGUAAUACAGAGGGUGCGAGCGUUAAUCGGAUUUACUGGGCGUAAAGCGUGCGUAGGCGGCUUAUUAAGUCGGAUGUGAAAUCCCCGAGCUUAACUUGGGAAUUGCAUUCGAUACUGGUGAGCUAGAGUAUGGGAGAGGAUGGUAGAAUUCCAGGUGUAGCGGUGAAAUGCGUAGAGAUCUGGAGGGAUACCGAUGGCGAAGGCAGCCAUCUGGCCUAAUACUGACGCUGAGGUACGAAAGCAUGGGGAGCAAACAGGAUUAGAUACCCUGGUAGUCCAUGCCGUAAACGAUGUCUACUAGCCGUUGGGGCCUUUGAGGCUUUAGUGGCGCAGCUAACGCGAUAAGUAGACCGCCUGGGGAGUACGGUCGCAAGACUAAAACUCAAAUGAAUUGACGG